rnacentral:rRNA from 1 species
ACGGGGUGCAGCAGGCGCGAAAACUCCGCAAUACACGAAAGUGUGACGGGGGGACCCCAAGUGCUCUCGCGCAAGCGAGCGCUUUUGUGAAGUGUAAAUAGCUUUACGAAUAAGAGCUGGGUAAGACCGGUGCCAGCCGCCGCGGUAACACCGGCAGCUCGAGUGGUGAUCAUUAUUAUUGGGCCUAAAGCGUCCGUAGCCGGUUUGAUAAGUCCUUGGGCAAAUCCUGCCGCUUAACGGUAGGAAUUCUGAGGAUACUGUCAGACUUGAGGCCGAGAGAGGUCGGAGGUACUCCUGGGGUAGCGGUGAAAUGCUAUAAUCCUGGGGGGACCACCAGUGGCGAAAGCGUCCGACCAGAGCGGGCCUGACGGUAAAGGGACGAAAGCCAGGGGCGCGAACGGGAUUAGAUACCCCGGUAGUCCUGGCCGUAAACGCUGUGGGCUAGGUGUUGCAUGCUCUACGAGGGCGUGCAGUGCCGAAGAGAAGUUGAUAAGCCUACCGCCUGGAAGUACUAUCGCAAGAU